rnacentral:misc_RNA from 1 species
CACAAAACUCACCCUUCCGUUUCGCUUCUAUUUAUGCAACUACCAACUUCAUCAUCUUCUUCAAUUCCUUCGCCUUUCUUCUCCCUUCAAUUCACUUCAGUUUCAUUCUGUUGAUCUGAUCGCACUAAACAUGGCUUCCUCUCUCGAUUCCACUGCACUCGACCUUUCUAAGCUUGGCAUCAAUGAAGAUUUCGCCUCAUCUGUUCCUAAUUUGCGGAAGAAUCUCCACCUUCUAUCGCCUGAACAGGUUGAAUUGGUGAAGAUAUUGUUGGAAAUGGGGCAGAGUCAUCUUUUUGAGCAUUGGGCCGAGCCUGGCGUUGAUGAUAAUGAAAAGAAGGCUUUCUUCGACCAGGUUGCUCGGCUUAAUUCUAGCUAUCCUGGGGGGUUGGCCUCCUACAUCAAGACUGCCAGAGGACUCUUAGCAGAUUCCAAAGCAGGAAAGAACCCAUUUGAUGGCUUCACACCCUCUGUUCCAACUGGUGAAGUUUUGACUUUUGGUG